rnacentral:rRNA from 1 species
UACGUAGGGUGCAAGCGUUAAUCGGAAUUACUGGGCGUAAAGCGUGCGCAGGCGGUUGUGUAAGACAGAUGUGAAAUCCCCGGGCUCAACCUGGGAACUGCAUUUGUGACUGCACGGCUCGAGUGCGGCAGAGGGGGAUGGAAUUCCGCGUGUAGCAGUGAAAUGCGUAGAUAUGCGGAGGAACACCGAUGGCGAAGGCAAUCCCCUGGGCCUGCACUGACGCUCAUGCACGAAAGCGCGGGGAGCAAACAGG